GUAAAAAUGGAGUUAUACGGUGGGUCACACUCCGAUCGACAGUCGGAAUGGGUUCCUGUUGGACCCGAGACCGGUCUUGAAGAAUCAAUGAGGAGGUUGGGGUUGUGGAGGAGGGAACCAUACCCGGAAAGGUCCGGGACAUCGAACUGUUCUUUCUAUAUGCGUACAGGGUCUUGUGGAUAUGGUGCUAAAUGCCGGUAUAAUCAUCCUCCUGAUCGUAGCUCUGUUGGUGCUGUGCUGUUGGAAAGUAGUGAAUAUCCAGAACGAAUAGGAGAGCCUACAUGCCAGUACUAUCUAAGAACAGCAACCUGUAAAUUUGGUGCAUCAUGCAAGUUCCACCAUCCAAGAAACUUAGGUGGAUCGUUGAGCAAUAUAUCACUAAAUGUUUAUGGAUACCCAUUACAUCCGGAGGAAAGAGAAUGCUCCUAUUAUUUGAAAACGGGGCAAUGCAAAUUUGGUAUAACAUGUAAAUUCCAUCAUCCUGACCAUGCUGAGGUAUCAGCGCCAGUGACUGCACGUCCAUUUUAUCCAACAUCGCCUUCUCUUCCUGUUCCUCCUGAAGAAUAUAACAGUACAUCAACUAGCUCUAGAGUAGCAGGACCUCAACUCUUACCCGGUCCUUAUGUACCUGGUACUUAUGGUCCAGUUUUGCUUCACCCAGGAGUGGUGACCAUUCAGAACUGGAGCACUUACUCGGGACCAGUGAGUCCUGCACUUUCUCCUGGUGCUCAACCCUCUGCUGGGAUGGCAACUAUUUAUGGGAUGCCACAACUAGCAUCUUCUACGGCUGCCUUUGCAGCACCUUACUCUCCGUUACACUCUGCUGCUGGCCCUUCAAGCAGUGCACUGAGAGAAAAUCGUUUUCCAGAAAGACCAGGCCAACCAGUAUGUCAAUAUUACAUGAAAACUGGGGACUGUAAAUUUGGAUCGUCCUGUAAAUUUCAUCAUCCUGCUGACUGGAUUGCAUCAAAGACAGAUUGUACUUUCAGUCCCUU
rnacentral:misc_RNA from 1 species